rnacentral:sRNA from 1 species
CAGACAUCUUCACCACCACAGAGCCCAUCAAGCCCGAGCAGACCACAGAGUAUUCAGCCAUGGCCUCGCUGGCUGGUGGGCUGGACGACAUGAAGGCCAAUCUGGCCAGCCCCACCCCUGCUGACAUCGGGAGCAGUGUGCCAGGCCCGCAGUCCUACCCCAUUGUGACAGGUGAGGGCACCUGGGGCAUGGGGGAUGAGUGAGGGAGGGAGAGAGAGAUAGGAGUGUGUGGUGGGAAGAGUGGCUUCUUGGUGUGUUUGGAUGUGAUCGGCCAAUUUUGUUUUAACGAGGUUAUGAGGCCUGGGAACAGGUCAGGUGCUGGGGCCAGGCUUGCAGCUGUGAUGAGACAUGGCUGGAUAUGGUUCCAACAAAGCCGGGGAGAACAAAUGCCAAAUGGACUGUGGGCUGGAGGGAACUUGGGGCAGGGGGCAGGAAACCUCAUGCCAGAGGGGCCCCCGUGGGUGGGGCUGAGUGUUGAGAGGCCUAGGGUUUAUUUCUUUCACGAGAAAGGCCACCCUGGUGGGCACCAACCUCAAGGAGGAAUGGGAUUCCUUGCAGAUUGUUGUUGGCAGGCAGAAUCUGAGUCAAGAAUGGUAGGCGGCUUAGGCUGGAAGGUGCUUGGCGGAUGCCAAGCUGCUGCCCUCUGGAAGUCCCAGGGCCAGACUCUCUUUAGCUGUCUGUGUAGAGAUUGGGAGUGUGGGUCCUGGAGGUGCACUGUUGAGUUUGAUCAUGCCAUUUACUAGCUGUGCAGACUUGGGUGAGUCAUGUAUGCGUUGUGGGCUGUGGCUUUAAGCUGCACAGCGGGACUAGUGCUAGCACCUACCCCAGAGGGCU